AACGAACGCUGGCGGCAUGCCUAACACAUGCAAGUCGAACGAGACCUUCGGGUCUAGUGGCGCACGGGUGCGUAACGCGUGGGAACCUGCCCUUAGGUUCGGAAUAACUCCCCGAAAGGGGUGCUAAUACCGGAUAAUGUCUUCGGACCAAAGAUUUAUCGCCUUUGGAUGGGCCCGCGUUGGAUUAGCUAGUUGGUAGGGUAAAAGCCUACCAAGGCGACGAUCCAUAGCUGGUCUGAGAGGAUGAUCAGCCACACUGGGACUGAGACACGGCCCAGACUCCUACGGGAAGCAGCAGUGGGGAAUAUUGGACAAUGGGCGAAAGCCUGAUCCAGCAAUGCCGCGUGAGUGAUGAAGGCCUUAGGGUUGUAAAGCUCUUUUACCCGGGAUGAUAAUGACAGUACCGGGAGUAUAAGCUCCGGCUAACUCCGUG
rnacentral:rRNA from 1 species